UACGGAGGAUGCAAGCGUUAUCCGGAUUUAUUGGGUUUAAAGGGUGCGUAGGCGGAAUGAUAAGUCAGUGGUGAAAUCCCCCGGCUCAACCGGGGAACUGCCAUUGAUACUGCCAUUCUUGAGUACAGUUGAGGUGGGUGGAAUGUAUCAUGUAGCGGUGAAAUGCAUAGAUAUGAUACAGAACACCGAUAGCGAAGGCAACUCACCAAACUGUAACUGACGCUGAGGCACGAAAGCGUGGGGAGCAAACAGGAUUAGAUACCCCCGUA
rnacentral:rRNA from 1 species